rnacentral:rRNA from 1 species
AUGAACGCUAGCUACAGGCUUAACACAUGCAAGUCGAGGGGAAACGACAUCGAAAGCUUGCUUUUGAUGGGCGUCGACCGGCGCACGGGUGAGUAACGCGUAUCCAACCUGCCCAUCACUUGGGAAUAACCUUGCGAAAGUAAGACUAAUACCCAAUGACAUCCCACGAAGACAUCUGAAUGGGAUUAAAGAUUUAUCGGUGAUGGAUGGGGAUGCGUCUGAUUAGCUUGUUGGCGGGGUAACGGCCCACCAAGGCAACGAUCAGUAGGGGUUCUGAGGGGAAGGUCCCCCACAUUGGAACUGAGACACGGUCCAAACUCCUACGGGAGGCAGCAGUGAGGAAUAUUGGUCAAUGGGCGAGAGCCUGAACCAGCCAAGUAGCGUGCAGGAUGACGGCCCUAUGGGUUGUAAACUGCUUUUAUAAGGGAAUAAAGUGGGUCUCGGGAGACUUUUUGCAUGUACCUUAUGAAUAAGGACCGGCUAAUUCCGUG